rnacentral:rRNA from 1 species
GACGGAGGAUGCAAGUGUUAUCCGGAAUCACUGGGCGUAAAGCGUCUGUAGGUGGUUUAAUAAGUCAACUGUUAAAUCUUGAGGCUCAACCUCAAAAUCGCAGUCGAAACUAUUAGGCUGGAGUACGGUAGGGGCAGAGGGAAUUUCCGGUGGAGCGGUGAAAUGCGUAGAGAUCGGAAAGAACACCAACGGCGAAAGCACUCUGCUGGGCCGACACUGACACUGAGAGACGAAAGCUAGGGGAGCGAAUGGG